AGCGAACGCUGGCGGCAGGCUUAACACAUGCAAGUCGAGCGGACGUAGCAAUACGUUAGCGGCAGACGGGUGAGUAACACGUGGGAACGUGCCCUUUGGUUCGGGAUAACCCAGGGAAACCUGGGCUAAUACCGGGAUAAGCCCUUACGGGGAAAGAUUUAUCGCCAAAGGAUCGGCCCGCGUCUGAUUAGCUAGUUGGUGGGUAAUGGCCCACCAAGGCUACGAUCAGUAGCUGGUCUGAGAGGAUGAUCAGCCACACUGGGACUGAGAUACGGCCCAGACUCCUACGGGAGGCAGCAGUGGGGAAUAUUGGACAAUGGGCGAAAGCCUGAUCCAGCCAUGCCGCGUGAGUGAUGAAGGCCUUAGGGUUGUAAAGCUCUUUCGGCGGGGAAGAUAAUGACGGUACCCGCAUAAGAAGCCCCGGCUAACUUCGUGCCAGCAGCCGCAGUAAC
rnacentral:rRNA from 1 species